UGGGAAGAAGCUUAACUUGAGGGAAACUGCCGCGAGGUUAUAACUUUAAUAAAGGAAAACUUAUAUUAAUAAUAUCAAUUGUGAGAUUGAAUUAUCUUUAUAUUUUUAUUAUUUUUAAAAUUAAAUUAAAUAGUUAAUCAUACUUAAUUUAAGAGUAGUUUGUAUGCUAAUUGUUAAAAAAAACAAUAGUUAUAUAUUGUAAUUAGUCUUUUAUUUAAAAACACCUUUGUUAAGCUAAUUAGUAUCAGUUAACUCAUUUAAGUAACAUCU
rnacentral:rRNA from 1 species